UACAGAGGUCUCAAGCGUUGUUCGGAUUCAUUGGGCGUAAAGGGUGCGUAGGCGGCGCGGUAAGUCGGGUGUGAAAUCUCGGGGCUUAACUCCGAAACUGCAUUCGAUACUGCCGUGCUUGAGGACUGGAGAGGAGACUGGAAUUUACGGUGUAGCGGUGAAAUGCGUAGAUAUCGUAAGGAAGACCAGUGGCGAAGGCGGGUCUCUGGGCUGACACUGACGCUCAUGCACGAAAGCGUGGGGAGCAAACAGG
rnacentral:rRNA from 1 species